rnacentral:rRNA from 1 species
GACGAACGCUGGCGGCGUGCUUAACACAUACAAGUCGAACGGUAGGGCCCUUCGGGGUACACGAGUGGCGAACGGGUGAGUAACACGUGGGUGAUCUGCCCUGCACUUCGGGAUAAGCCUGGGAAACUGGGUCUAAUACCGGAUAGGGCCACUGCCUGCAUGGGUGGUGGUGGAAAGCUUUUGCGGUGUGGGAUGGGCCCGCGGCCUAUCAGCUUGUUGGUGGGGUGAUGGCCUACCAAGGCGACGACGGGUAGCCGGCCUGAGAGGGUGACCGGCCACACUGGGACUGAGAUACGGCCCAGACUCCUACGGGAGGCAGCAGUGGGGAAUAUUGCACAAUGGGCGCAAGCCUGAUGCAGCGACGCCGCGUGAGGGAUGACGGCCUUCGGGUUGUAAACCUCUUUCAGCACCGACGAAGCGCAAGUGACGGUAGGUGCAGAAGAAGGACCGGCCAACUACGUGCCAGCAGCCGCCGUAA